rnacentral:rRNA from 2 species
UUGACCCGGCGAUGUCCGAAUGGGGAAACCCAGUGUGUUCCGACACACUAUCGUUAACUGAAUACAUAGGUUAACGAGGCGAACCGGGGGAACUGAAACAUCUAAGUACCCCGAGGAAAAGAAAUCAACCGAGAUUCCCCCAGUAGCGGCGAGCGAACGGGGAGCAGCCCGGAGUCUGAAUCAGCUUGUGUGUUAGUGGAACGGUCUGGAAAGUCCGACGGUACAGGGUGAUAGUCCCGUACACGAAAAUGCACAGGUUGUGAACUCGAAGAGUAGGGCGGGACACGUGGUAUCCUGUCUGAAUAUGGGGGGACCAUCCUCCAAGGCUAAAUACUCCUGACUGACCGAUAGUGAACCAGUACCGUGAGGGAAAGGCGAAAAGAACCCCGGCGAGGGGAGUGAAAAAGAACCUGAAACCGUGUACGUACAAGCAGUGGGAGCACCUUCGGGUGUGACUGCGUACCUUUUGUAUAAUGGGUCAGCGACUUAUAUUCUGUAGCAAGGUUAACCGUAUAGGGGAGCCGAAGGGAAACCGAGUCUUAACUGGGCGUUAAGUUGCAGGGUAUAGACCCGAAACCCGGUGAUCUAGCCAUGGGCAGGUUGAAGGUUGGGUAACACUAACUGGAGGACCGAACCGACUAAUGUUGAAAAAUUAGCGGAUGACCUGUGGCUGGGGGUGAAAGGCCAAUCAAACCGGGAGAUAGCUGGUUCUCCCCGAAAGCUAUUUAGGUAGCGCCUCGUGAACUCAUCUUCGGGGGUAGAGCACUGUUUCGGCUAGGGGGCCAUCCCGGCUUACCAACCCGAUGCAAACUACGAAUACCGAAGAAUGUUAUCACGGGAGACACACGGCGGGUGCUAACGUCCGUCGUGAAGAGGGAAACAACCCAGACCGCCAGCUAAGGUCCCAAAGUCAUGGUUAAGUGGGAAACGAUGUGGGAAGGCACAGACAGCCAGGAUGUUGGCUUAGAAGCAGCCAUCAUUUAAAGAAAGCGUAAUAGCUCACUGGUCGAGUCGGCCUGCGCGGAAGAUGUAACGGGGCUAAACCAUGCACCGAAGCUGCGGCAGCGACGCUUAUGCGUUGUUGGGUAGGGGAGCGUUCUGUAAGCCGUUGAAGGUGUGCUGUGAGGCAUGCUGGAGGUAUCAGAAGUGCGAAUGCUGACAUAAGUAACGAUAAAGCGGGUGAAAAGCCCGCUCGCCGGAAGACCAAGGGUUCCUGUCCAACGUUAAUCGGGGCAGGGUGAGUCGACCCCUAAGGCGAGGCCGAAAGGCGUAGUCGAUGGGAAACAGGUUAAUAUUCCUGUACUUGGUGUUACUGCGAAGGGGGGACGGAGAAGGCUAUGUCAGCCGGGCGACGGUUGUCCCGGUUUAAGCAUGUAGGCGGAGGUUCCAGGUAAAUCCGGUACCUUAUUAACGCUGAGGUGUGAUGACGAGGCACUACGGUGCUGAAGUGAUAAAUGCCCUGCUUCCAGGAAAAGCCUCUAAGCAUCAGGUAACACGAAAUCGUACCCCAAACCGACACAGGUGGUCAGGUAGAGAAUACCAAGGCGCUUGAGAGAACUCGGGUGAAGGAACUAGGCAAAAUGGUGCCGUAACUUCGGGAGAAGGCACGCUGAUAUGUAGGUGAAGCCCCUGCGGGCGGAGCUGAAAUCAGUCGAAGAUACCAGCUGGCUGCAACUGUUUAUUAAAAACACAGCACUGUGCAAACACGAAAGUGGACGUAUACGGUGUGACGCCUGCCCGGUGCCGGAAGGUUAAUUGAUGGGGUUAGCGGCAACGCGAAGCUCUUGAUCGAAGCCCCGGUAAACGGCGGCCGUAACUAUAACGGUCCUAAGGUAGCGAAAUUCCUUGUCGGGUAAGUUCCGACCUGCACGAAUGGCGUAAUGAUGGCCAGGCUGUCUCCACCCGAGACUCAGUGAAAUUGAACUCGCUGUGAAGAUGCAGUGUACCCGCGGCAAGACGGAAAGACCCCGUGAACCUUUACUAUAGCUUGACACUGAACACUGGUCCUUGAUGUGUAGGAUAGGUGGGAGGCUUUGAAGCGUGGACGCCAGUCUGCGUGGAGCCGCCCUUGAAAUACCACCCUUUAAUGGCUGGUGUUCUAACGUAGACCCGUGAUCCGGGUUGCGGACAGUGUCUGGUGGGUAGUUUGACUGGGGCGGUCUCCUCCCAAAGAGUAACGGAGGAGCACGAAGGUUGGCUAAUCCUGGUCGGACAUCAGGAGGUUAGUGCAAUGGCAUAAGCCAGCUUGACUGCGAGCGUGACGGCGCGAGCAGGUGCGAAAGCAGGUCAUAGUGAUCCGGUGGUUCUGAAUGGAAGGGCCAUCGCUCAACGGAUAAAAGGUACUCCGGGGAUAACAGGCUGAUACCGCCCAAGAGUUCAUAUCGACGGCGGUGUUUGGCACCUCGAUGUCGGCUCAUCACAUCCUGGGGCUGAAGUAGGUCCCAAGGGUAUGGCUGUUCGCCAUUUAAAGUGGUACGCGAGCUGGGUUUAGAACGUCGUGAGACAGUUCGGUCCCUAUCUGCCGUGGGCGCUGGAGAAUUGAGGGGGGCUGCUCCUAGUACGAGAGGACCGGAGUGGACGCAUCACUGGUGUUCGGGUUGUCAUGCCAAUGGCACUGCCCGGUAGCUAAAUGCGGAAGAGAUAAGUGCUGAAAGCAUCUAAGCACGAAACUUGCCCCGAGAUGAGUUCUCCCUGAGACCUUGAGUCUCCUGAAGGAACGUUGAAGACGACGACGUUGAUAGGUCGGGUGUGUAAGCGCAGCGAUGCGUUGAGCUAACCGAUACUAAUGAACCGUGAGGCUUAACCUU